GGACAUGCAGUUGCCACAUUCUGGGACAUAACUGGCGAAAAGGAAGUUAGUAGAAAGGAGGAUAUAAAAUAGUUUCAUCACAAGAAAACUGGGACAUGACAUUGCCACAUAAAAUUCAGCAAAAUGUUUGGUUAUUUCAUCACAAGAAAAGCGGGACAUGCCAUUGCCACAUAAAAUUCAGCAAAAUGUUUGGAUAUUUCAUCACAAGAAAACUGGGACAUGUAUGCCAUUGCAACCAUGUUAAAUUCAGCAAAAUGUUUGGUUAUUUCAUCACAAGAAAACUGGGACAUGCCAUUGCCACAUUAAAUUCAUCAAAAUGUUUGGAUAUUUCAUCACAAGAAAACUGGAACUUGCCAUUGUCACAUUAAGUUCAUCAAAAUGUUUGGAUAUUUCAUCACAAAAAAAACUAGGACUUGCCACUGCCACAUCAAGUUCAGCAAAAUGUUUGGAUAUUUCAUCACAAGAAAACUGGGACUUGCCACUGCCACAUCAAGUUCAGCAAAAUGUUUGGAUAUUUCAUCACAAGAAAACUGGGACUUGCCAUUGCCACAUCAAGUUCAGCAAAAUGUUUGGAUAUUUCAUCACAAGAAAACUGGGACUUGCCACUGCCACAUUAAGUUCAGCAAAAUGUUUGGAUAUUUCAUCACAAGAAAACUGGGACUUGCCAUUGCCACAUUAAGUUCAUCAAAAUGUUUGGAUAUUUCAUCACAAGAAAACUGGGACUUGCCAUUGCCACAUUAAGUUCAGCAAAAUGUUUGGAUAUUUCAUCACAAGAAAACUGGGACUUGCAGUUGCCACAUUAUUGGACAUUACAGAUUAAAAUGAGUGAUUAGAGGAAGCAAUUCGUGAAAGUCCUUGUAAUUGUCAUUGUCAAGGAUUGGAUCUUUUCCUAUAUACAGGAAGAAGUGAAAUAUUUUCAUCACAAGAACACAGGAUGUUAACUGGAUUUUUUAUCAGAGCACAGGAGCACUGGACAUUUAUUGAUUCUUUCCAUAGCAACACCACCAACAGCAGCAAAAAAGUUCAAGCAUUUCAAGAAUGGAAUGUUCUGUCCAAACAAACAUGUCUAUCACACCUUCAAGAGCUGAUAUUGGAAUCAUUAUUAGUAGAAUGGAAAACAGGGAUAAAAUCUAGCAAAAGGCCCAGUCGCACAUGGCCCCUAGAUUUUGAGCUGGGCUACUAAAUUACCUGGAAAAUAUACUGACUCAAAGACAGACUGAAAUACAGACAUUGACUGAAGAAAUGAAUGAAGACAAAGAAAAGAUGGGAGCAGAUUACAAACAAAAGCUUGCUAAUAUAGAAUCCAUACUGAAGAAAGAAAUGGCAAAUCAGAAUGAUUUAAUGAAUGAAUUAAAACAAAAUAAAGAAAUAAAGAGUCAAUGAGCUUCAGUCUGCUCUUCGUGAAAAAAGAACAAGCUAUAAAACUUCUCUAAAAACCAGUAAAAGUGCUUGGGACUAUGAACUCAUUAAUUUUAGGGAAGAGUAUAGUGUGAAAAUGUCAGAAAUUGAAAGAGAAAAAAACAGACAAAUAGAGGAUGUAAAGCAAAGAAGACUGAACAUGGAAGAAUCAUGUCAUAUUCUGGAAGAUAAUGGAAACAUCCUUGGCUGAAAAAAAUAGUUUAAAGCAACAGUGAGACGUUUCAAUAUUUCAUCACAUGAACACUGGGACAUCUAUAGAAACAAGUGGGACAUGCAGUUUAUUGAUAUUCUAAAUAAAAAAAAAUUGCUUCCAAUUUCAUUUCAAGCUUUUGUAUUUGACCUUUAGAAUGAGAAGAUUUAUAUUCAAUUCUUUACACCGCCUCGGUGAUGUAAUGGUUAGUGUGGUCGCCUCGAGUGUGGUAGGUUGUGGGUUCCACCCUCGGCGGGGUCAAACCAAAGACUUGAAAAUUGGUAUUUGCUGCUUCUUCGCCAAGCACGCGGCAAUAAGGAGUUAGAGCAAAGACUGUUCGGCCCGGACUGUUCAGUCAGAAUAAUGUGUCUGGGUAAGUGACAUAUAUUCCUGCGAACUGUUACCUUGUGAGCUAGCAUGUUAAAAAUCCAGGUCAGUGUGUUGGUCGAGUACAAAGCAGGGUUAAUAUUCAUUAAUCAUUAUCAUGUUCUCAUCCUGAAUAUGCAUCUGACUUGCCAUUGGACGUUAAACAACCAUCCAUCCAUCCAUCCAUCAAUUACUUAUUGUUUGAUUGCUGGUAACCCUUAAUUUAACUGCUACUGUAAUUUCCUUCCACUGUAGUGUAAUUGUAGUGUAGUUUGUAAUUGAAAACAGACAACCAUUUUGACUGACAUAUUGCUAUCCACAUAAGUUGCUUUAAAAAUCUUCCCUUCUAUAGACUGAUCAGAAUCGUAUUUAGAACAUCUAAUCGUAUAAAUAAGAAGAUGUGGUAUGAGUGCCAAUGAGACAACGCUCCAUCAAAGUCACAAUAUAUAAAAAGUUGAUAAUUAUAGGUCAAAGUACAGCCUUCAGCCUUCACCACAGAGUUAAGUUUCUGUUAAAAUUAUACCCCAUGACGCCAUCAACCAACAUGAUGAAAAUAGAGUUAUUUUUUUCAGUUUCAUGCAGUUUUCAAUUGAUAUUAAGUACAUAAUUUUAUAAUGAUAAAAGAAAGGUAAAACCGACUUGAA